UCACUUUGCAUCCUUCUAAUAUUGUAUGCUGCUGCCCAUCUUUCCACAUGUCCACCUAGCUCACUAGAACAAGGGGACUGAAAAACUACUUUAGGUCAAUGGUUUACAGGUAAUUGUAGAGGGAAUAAUAUUUAUUACAAGAAAAAUCUUGGGAGCAUACCAAAGAAAUAUGGUACAGGAAGAUGAGGAGGAGACCACUGUGGCAAAUCAAGGCGUCUGAGAGGCAAGGUAGGCUGACUGAAGAUUUGUGUCCCUUCUCUGCUCUGUGUGAAUGGUGACUGCACACUCAAUUGUCAGGUGGCUCACUGUGUCUUCUGGUGCCCUUCUUGUCCUCAUCCGCAUUGCCUGCUACCACUUUCUUUCCACCUUUGCCUAACUUUUCUCAGUUAUCAUUUUCCUUGAAGGUAGGACUGGAUUUUAUUUGUUGAGGGAUUCUGACUUAUAAUGUGGUUCUAGCUGCAUCUAAGUUCAUCAGAAAUUACCUAGCCGGGCUGUGGUAUGAGAAUGGGGCUGUCUCACUGCACACCCUAGGCUCGUGAUGGUCUAAAGCACUCACCACAUGCUGUAGCACUCAGUAACUGCUUUUCUUCAAAGUUCUUCAUUCUGAGUUAUAAUCAGCCUCAUGGAGGGUUGGGAGCAGUGAGCACUCUCAGCCAUUGCUGGUGGUAUAACAUGAUAUAGCACAGUGAGAAGCCACAGACUCUUCUUCAGAAAGUUAAACUGCAGUUCACAGGUGAACCAGUGAUUCCAGAACAUGAAGUAGGUGUCCAAGGAGAAGCUAGGGGACAUUAGUGCUGUAGCAGCAUUCCUCAGAGUAGCCUCAAAGUAGAAACUAUCUAGAUGUCUACAUUCACUGAGUGAAAAAGUACAAUGUGAUUGAGCCCUUCCAUGAAUCGUUCAGCAUGAAAUAAUACAUGUAAUCAUUUGGCCCUGAUCAGCCUUUUGUUGCUCAAAGAAAUCCUUGACACAAUCACAUUACAGGGAGGAAUUGUUGAUUUUGACUCUGUUGUGGAGAUUCUCUAGUUUCCUGGGCUUCUGGGUUUUCUAGUUUUCUCUGACAUUAGGCAGCCUGUGGUAAAGGGAGUUUUUUUGGAGGAAGUUGCUCACCUUGGGGCCAACUGGGAAUUAGUGAAUAAGACCAGUGAGCUGGUCCAGUUGUCCUGUGCUGGGGAACAUUCCUAUACUGCACAGCCUGGGGAACUUCCUAAGCAGGGUUGGCUAACCAACCAGUACCUGAGAGGUCCACAUGUCCGUGCAUUAGUUUCAUAGGAGAGGCACUUCAAUGAUUGAGCUGCCUGUUUCUCAUGGCCACUGUAUUCUUCUCUCAUCCUACAAAAGUUAAUCUUCUUCUCAAUAGUAUCCCUGGUGAUUGCUCCUUAUAUUAACAUUAGCUGGGAAAUUAAACAUGUUACUGCAUUAGAGUGUGCUUGUAUGUGUGCACACAUGUACUUGUGUGUGUUCAUGAGUUUGUGUGCAUAUGGUGAGCAAGCCACCACUGAGAACACAGCCUUCUAAUGAACAGGAGCAAGAGAGUCUGGAUGAAAUACUGAAGGACCUGCUGAAGCAGAAGGAGCUGGUCACCCAGGAAAGGGACUUGGCAGAAAAGCUACAACAUCACUUCAGUGUCACUGAGAUGAGAACAUCACCUUUAGAGAGAAGUUCAUACCUUUGGACAGAUCUGUAUGCAGCACACUCCUGCAGAUUACAGGUUCUCUGCACUGUGCAUCUGUUUCCUGUGAAAAGAUUUUUCUGUUAUAAGAAGAUUUAGGGGUUGAGGAGUUGAACCUAUGCAGAUCUUGAGAGAACUGAGGAGGCCAAAGAAGCCAAAGAUGCCUUGAACCCAUGAAGCUCUCCACCUCAGAUCAAGGUCUGCUCAGAAGACAUCCCGUAUAGUUGUGAUCUCACCAGUGAGGCAAAUACCAUCUGACCUCCAGGUGAUCCAGCCCCCGUCAAUAGAUCUGUUGACUCAGGACUCCUGAAGAAAAGAAAGCAUCACAAAAAACUCAAGACAGAAAAACCUGAGACAAGAAUUAUUGGGAACCCUGACAUUCAACAGCAAGUGGCCCCUGUGAGGGCAACAACAACAUGGAGGGUAGAGAUGUUGGUGAGCAAGACAUUUUCUGACAGUUUAAUGUCGAUGGCUUUGGCAAGCUGACUGAGUCCUUAGCCCUCCCUAGGUGGAGGGAAAUCUGUCAUGGAAGACUGUUGAUGUCAAGCUGUUCCUGACAGACUACACCAAAAAAACAUCAUUUUUAUUCUCCAGGCCAGUGCUGAAGCUGACUCCAUGUCCUGCACAAGUGUUGCUGAGGAUAAUGCACCACAGAGAUCUCCACAGUCCAACAUUCCCCGGGUUAGACAUUUUUUCCUACAUAUUUAAAAUCAGUGGGUAUUUCUCCAUUUCUCAGCUUGAACUGAAGUGACUAGUCCUGAGAAAGGAUUUAUAGAAGACAUCUGAGUCAUCUUUGAUGUUUUUUGGUACUCAGAUGCUGCCCACGUAUUUGUGGGGUCUCUAGUAAGCACACAAGAGUCUGUAUGCUGAAAGAAUCAAAUAGUGACCAAGACAUUACAGGAUCAGCAGUGUGUGAUAAUUUAUCAAAAGCUUCCCAGAGGGGCACAAAGAAUGCUCUAGAAAAUGUCUCAUCCUUAGACUCGGUGAAGGCUUGGCCUACAAAGCCUGAAGGAGGCAUGACUAUACUAGUUUUGAAAAGGCUUUUUACAAUCGCUGACUGCCUUCCUACCAUGUUUCCAAGGCCAGCCACAGGCUGUAGGUCUGUGCUGCUAACUGUGCAGCAGAGAAUGCUGCUGGCCUUAAUUGUUUUUUGUUUGGUUUUUGGUUGCUUUGAGUUUUUGUUUUGUUUUGUUUUCUUUGUUAUAGAUUGAGAUUUUGCUAUUUAUUUGUUCUUUCUUUUGUUCUUGUUGUUAUUUGGGUAUUUUGCUAAGGCUGUUCACUGUUUAUAUUGACUG